rnacentral:rRNA from 1 species
GACGGAGGAUGCAAGUGUUAUCCGGAUUCACUGGGCGUAAAGGGUGCGUAGGUGGCAUGGUAAGUUUGAUGUGAAAGCUCAGGGCUCAACCCUGAAAUGGCAUUGAAUACUAUCGUGCUGGAGGUUUGGAGGGGGGACUGGAAUUCUUGGUGUAGCAGUGAAAUGCGUAGAUAUCAAGAGGAACACCAGUGGCGAAGGCGAGUCCCUGGACAACACCUGACACUGAGGCACGAAAGCCGGGGGAGCAAACAGG